rnacentral:rRNA from 1 species
UUGUGGCCUUGAGCCGUGGCUUUCGGAGCUAACGCGUUAAGUAGACCGCCUGGGGAGUACGGUCGCAAGAUUAAAACUCAAAUGAAUUGACGGGGGCCCGCACAAGCGGUGGAGCAUGUGGUUUAAUUCGAUGCAACGCGAAGAACCUUACCUACUCUUGACAUCCAGAGAACUUUCCAGAGAUGGAUUGGUGCCUUCGGGAACUCUGAGACAGGUGCUGCAUGGCUGUCGUCAGCUCGUGUCGUGAG